rnacentral:rRNA from 1 species
UACGAAGGUGGCAAGCGUUGUUCGGAUUUACUGGGCGUACAGGGAGCGUAGGCGGUUGGAUAAGCCCUCCGUGAAAUCUCCAGGCUUAACCUGGAAAGUGCAGAGGGGGACUGUUCAGCUAGAGGAUGGGAGAGGAGCGCGGAAUUCCCGGUGUAGCGGUGAAAUGCGUAGAGAUCGGGAGGAAGGCCGGUGGCGAAGGCGGCGCUCUGGAACAUUCUGACGCUGAGGCUCGAAAGCGUGGGGAGCAAACAGGG